rnacentral:misc_RNA from 1 species
UCCUUCCUUUAUAAAGGUUCACUUUCAAAGACUGCACCCUAGUGAGAGACGAAGCUCCGAGAGGAACGGUCCCGUUGGAGCACAGCCAUGGUGCACGUCUCCUUCUAUCGCAACUGUAAUCUUUCCAUAUUUCUCCCUUUAACUGUGUGUGUUCAUUUUAUUAUAGUUAAAUUUAUGCAUGAAUAAAAUUACUUUAGUAAUUUUUCUCUAAUAAUGAUUCAUUCUUUGUAAGUGAAGGAUUUACAGUGAAAUCUUGUACUUCGAUCUGCUUUAAAUACAUGUUUUUUUUAAAAAAAAAAAAUUGUGUGCUUGAUCCAUAAAUUACUGGUUCUGAUCUAAUUUUAUUUUUUUAAAUUGGCGUAUAUACUGUUUGGUUGGUGAUAAAUUUGUGGAAAACAAAGGGAAAGAUGUAUCUUGCAUGCAUUUUUUCCUUUAUUGUUUUUUAUUCAUGACUGAGCCCAAAUGGCUGUGUUUUGCAUUGUGGGUGAAGGGGUUUGUUAGUGUGGAUACGAAAUUGUAAACUUGUAGCUUUUCUGUUAAUUUUGGUUGCUAAGUGAUAGACAAUAAGAGGUAAAAUUGUUUUGAAGCUGUAAAUAGGGUUUCAGAGUUUUUGAUCAAAUGAAGAGAAAAGCUCCAACAUAUAUCUGAAUUCAAUUAAGCACUUCGGGCAUUAUGUAGUUUUUUGCAGCCUAAGAGAACCCUGUUUUACCUACUUGAUAUUGCUAAACAGACUCUAAGGGAAAUAUUUGCUUAUAUUUUUAGUUUGAUAAUUGAUUUAUUUUUCUUGUUCCUCAAUGCAUAUUAAUAUUAUGAAUAAGCUUAGAUGGGAAGACAUUUAAGAAGCCUCGUCGUCCCUAUGAGAAGGAGCGAUUGGAUGCAGAGCUGAAGUUGGUGGGUGAGUAUGGUUUGCGGUGCAAGAGAGAGCUGUGGAGGGUCCAAUAUGCACUGAGCCGCAUCCGUAAUGCUGCUAGGAUGCUUUUGACUCUUGAUGAGAAGAACCCUCGCCGGAUCUUUGAGGGCGAGGCUCUUCUCCGCAGGAUGAACCGCUAUGGUCUAUUGGAUGAGAGUCAGAACAAGCUUGAUUACGUGUUGGCCUUGACUGUGGAGAACUUCCUUGAGCGCCGCCUGCAAACACUUGUGUUCAAGUCUGGUAUGGCAAAGUCCAUCCACCACGCUCGGGUGCUUAUCAGGCAGAGGCAUAUCAGGUGAGUUUAUGGAUAAUAAAAGUAUGUCAUUUUCAUUUUAUGUUGAGAUGUUGCCUGUUGCUUUGUGGAUUUUAAUAAUUUAGCCAUCUAUAUCUUCUACUACUGAUUGUAAAGGUUUACAUUUCCAGUCAAGUUACAAAAUUGUGAGCUCUAGAAUCAAUAUUUUUCUGACAGAAUCAUUGGAGUAUACUUUGAUGAAAUAGGUACUGGCCAUUGCACAAGUGUUAUUGUUUUAGGCAUGAUGAUGGUAGUUAUAUCUGAUCUGAUGGAUUAUGUGAUGAUGGCACUGUAUUAAUAGGUCUCAAACUGUAAAUAUGGUGAUUAUUAGCUCUUUUGUGUUGCAAUGACUUGAAAGGAGUGAUAUUAUGUGUUAGGGGGGCAAUGCAAAGCUAUCACAAGGUAUGCCAAUUUUUUAUUUAUUCGCCUAGCUUUGGGACUUGACUGAAUAGCAUUUGUUUGUAAAGACCACAGCCAUGCGAUGUGUUGAAGUGGAAUUUUGCUGUUCAAAUCUCUCCACUGAUUAUCAAAAAUGGGGGAAACAGAUGAUUAGGAAGCAGCUUGAAUUUCAUGUUGCUAAAAUACUGGCUUGGGCCCAGAUUAAGAUUUGGGAAGUUAAGGCGUUUGGUUCAGUACAUGUAUUGAUGUUCAUGCUGGCCCUGUUAGAAAUCUGGAACUUAUUUUUAAAAAAAUUCUUUGUCAUCCCAAAGUGCUGAUGUUCUAAUCAUGUUUGGAAGAAUCGGUUUUAUAGACAAAUUCCCUGAUGUUUUGAAAUACAGUUUAGUUAUUGUCAUCAACAUAAAUGUUGACUUGUAUUGAAAAUAUUUUGGCUGCCUUUUAUCGUAGUAGGAUGAUUUGGCCAUUUACGAAAUAUGCUAUAUCCUCAAAAUUUUUGGGUUGGCAGGGUUGGAAGGCAGGUGGUGAACAUCCCAUCUUUUAUGGUGAGGGUUGAUUCACAGAAGCACAUUGAUUUCUCCUUGACUAGUCCAUUUGGUGGUGGGCGUCCUGGAAGAGUGAAGAGAAAGAACCAGAGAGCAGCUAGCAAGAAGGCUUCUGGCGGAGAUGGAGAUGAGGAAGACGAGGAGUGAGUCAUGAGUUUAGGACCAUGCUAUUAGAAACUAUGCUCUACCAUCUCAGCUAGUUUUGUUGUUACCUUUCAAGGGGCUAGUGUUUUCUUUUUCUUUUCUUUUUUUGAAGAAAUAUUAUUGCACAAAUGGUUUUGUUUUUGAACUUUGAUAUUGGUUUUGUUUUGUGAUUAAUUAUGUAGCUAUGACCUGUGCUGAGGAUUAUUAUUAUUUUUUGUCCAUCAAAUGACAAUACAACUGGCUGGUUAUUGAAUAUGUUAUUAGCGAAGAUGUAUGUUGAUUGGCAUGGAAACUUGGAAUAUAUGCAUAGAGCCAACUCUCUGUUGUCAUUCUAACAUGUCAGUAGACUCGAUAUUUAUUCUUGAAACUAGAUCAGUA